rnacentral:lncRNA from 1 species
UUAUUACGAUAAUGAGUCUUGGUUUAUUAAAAAGCCAGAAAAGUAUGUAUGCAUGUAGUUAGUAGCAAUCUGUGAACCUCCAGAAAUGCCAACUACUUCCGUCCACACUUCGUCACCAGCAGUCAAGUGUAUAAUUAUAGCCUCUCUGUUCUUCAGCCAUUGCGCUUGCAGUAAAUCAAAAAAGAUAUAGCCGACUUCUGUUCCGUUUUUUUUAAUCUUAAUUUUCAUGGUUUUGCUGGUUGCUUCUGAAACUGUUGCUGCUACAUUUAUGUAAUAAAUUCCAUUGACUGGAGCAAUAAAGUGCCAUGAAACUUGUGGUAGCCAUUUCCAGUGUUAAGAUGAACGUUGCUAUAAAUAAGGUGUUGGCCGACAGUAGUGGUAAAAUAAGAACCACCAAGUUCAGCUAGGAAUGCAACAACAAGA